rnacentral:tRNA from 1 species
CGGGGUGUGGCGCAGCCUGGCUAGCGCGCUUGCAUGGGGUGCAAGAGGUCCCCGGUUCAAAUCCGGGCUCCCCGA